AAUUUUAACGAAUAACCUUCAUAUAUCCUUGGUAAUAUGGUCCGAGAGUCUCUACCAGACUGCCUAUAACAGUCUGACUAUGAAGGCAGAAUAUAUU
rnacentral:ncRNA from 1 species